GAAGGGGACACAAAGACUCACAUGGCAGCACAUCCACGAUAUGGGUCUCCACCUACAGUUCCAGUCCUCUGGGUGAAGAUAUUGGCUUGAGAAGUCCUGCUGGAUGCUGAGGAUGACACAGGAGGAAAAGCAGAACAGACGAAAGGAGAGUGGAGGGAGCAACACAACUGGAGAACAGGAAGAAAUUGAAAGCAUUAAAAAUGGUAAAAUGAAAGUAAAACUGUCACUAUUGGAAGGUGGUAUGACUGCAUUCCCGAAAAACCCAAGGUAAUCAGCUAAAAUUUACUAAUA
rnacentral:lncRNA from 1 species